GUUUCACUCUUGUUGCCCAGGCUGGAGUACAAUGGCAUGAUCUCGGCUCACUGCAACCUCCGCCUCCUGUGUUCAAGCAAUUCUCCUGCCUCAGCCUUCCAUGUAGCUGGGAUUACAGGCAUGCAUCACCACACCCAGCUAGCUCUGUAUUGUUUUAGUACAGACAGGGUUUCACCAUGUUGGUCAGGCUGGUCUUGAACUCCUCACCUCAAGUGAUCCACUUGCCUCAGUCUCCCAACAUGCUGGGAGGGAUUACAGACAUGAGCCACUGCACCCGGCCCUAUUACCAUUUUUUCUACAUAAGAAACUACAAAGAACAUUUGAAAUUAUUGAGUAUAUAUGCUCAGAAUUUCUGGCAGAUUCACUGAAGCCCAUAAAAACCAACUGAAUGAACACUUCUUGUUUUUUUGACAGGGUCUCACUCUGUUGCCCAGGCUAGAGUGCAGUGGAGCAGUCUCAGCUCACUGCAACCUCUGCCUCCUGGGUUCAAGCGAUCCUCAUACCUCACCCUCCCAAGUAGCUGGGACUACACUCGCAUGGCACCAUGCCCGGCUAAUUUUUGGUAGAGACAGGGUUUCACUGUGUUGGCCAGGCUGGUCUCAAACUCCUGGCCUCAAAGGAUCCACCCACUUUGACCCCCUAAAGUGCUGGGAUUAUAGGCGUGAGCCACCGCACCCGGCCUCAGUGGACACUCCUGAUCCGCACACUCCUGGUACCCUUGACAGACAUGUUUUGAGGGUACAGAUGAUAACUGAAGAAUUAAAUAGUCUUGUGGUGAUCACUUAGCUGCUGACAUGGUGGGAUGGAGGAUUCCAGAAUGCGUCAUGACUCACUGCCAUUGUGUUUACAGACUUACAGCAUACCAUGAAGACUCUACAUUAAAGCCACUUCUUAAAGCAAAUGCCAUGUCCUACAGUGCCAUCUGCAGAGAAGGAGUUUGCACUUGACAGAGAUCAAGGUCUUCUAAGCCCCAAGUUAAAGAACUCUAUUCAGCCGGGCGCGGUGGCUCAUGCCUGUAAUCCCAGCACUUUGGAAGGCCGAGGCGGGCGGAUCAUCUGAGGUUGGGAGUUCAAGACCAGCCUGACCAACAUGGAGAACCCCGUCUCUACUAAAAAUACAAAAUUAGCCUGGGGUGGUGACACACGCCUGUAAUUCCAGCUACUAAGGAAAGCUGAGGCAGGAGAAUUGCCUGAAUCUGGGAGGCGGAGGUUGCAGUGAGCCGAGAUCGUGCCAUUGCACUCCAGCCUGGGCAACAAAAGCGAAACUCCAUCUCUAAAAACAAAAAGAAAAACAAAAACCAAACUCCAUUCAAAAGUAAAGUAGAAACACUAUCUUGAUGCACCAAAAGACCAACUGCUCACAACUUUGGUUCCAAGGUCUGGAGAAUUUGCUGAGUCUGUGAGGCCUGGAGUUUCACAGCCAGUAUCCAAACAGGGACUAUUUCUGAUUUAUGUGUUGCUAGGUAACUCAUAAUUAUACAAGCAAAGAAGCAAGUUCAAUGUAAUAUAACUCACAUUGAUUUUUUUGGCUAUGCUGUAAGAGCUUGAUGUUAAUGUAUAGGAAAAAAAUUCCCAAUAUCCCCCAAACAUUUUGUUCCAAUAAAUACUUCUUAAUAUUUUGAAA